UAAUGACGGCAGAACGCAGCGAUAAUAGCUAACAUUUAUCAGGUGUCUGUUUGCAUUGGGCAUGCUGCUGAGUGCGUUACACAGGUUAUCUCAUUUAUUCUUCAAAACGACUCUGUGAAGUCGGAGUCAUUUUCCCCAUUUUGCCAAGAAGGAAACAGGACUUCGGAGAAGUAACUUGCCCAAAGCUGCAGAGCGCCCGCGUGGAGUUCCUACUUACUACCACAACAACGGUCAACAGCAUUUAAAGACAUUUCCAAAAAUCCUCCAUACCGCAUCACCCUAACUCAGACUGCUGACUACAACCAGAAGAAAAGGAGAAAGGGCAAAGGAGAGCGACACCACCACAAAUUCAUGGUCGUCCCUCAGCCAGGUUUUGAACACUCAGCAGUCCUUCCCCUCAUCACUGGGUGGUUAUCAACUCUUAUCAAGUCUUCUACAUCAUUCCCACCACCCGAGUCCACCCCAGCCCCAGCCAUCACUUUAAUGACCAUAUAAUAAUCCACAGUAUGGAUGUAUCACGACUUAUUCAAACAGUCCUUAUUGUUGGACAAUUAGGUUUGGUAGGAAAAAGUACAUACAUGAAUGGGAAACACCAUCAUGUGGAGAAAACAAAAACAAAAGCAUUAUUCAAGACCAUGAGUUAACGUGAAUAGUAUUAUUUGAGGCAGGUAGGAUGGGGCUGGGGUUCUGGUAGAUGUUCACGGGUCAUGAGAUUCAUGGCAGAGUGAACUUCACAGAGGUCCAUGAACCCAGCCAGGAGGCAACAUUUUGUACACAUCUGUGAAUGUUCUGGAGUGGGUCCAUGGCUUUCAUCAGCUGUGCCGAGGGGGCCUCCCCAAAAGUGAAAGGCCACUAAUCUGGUCUACACUUUGUAACAUAAGCACUGAUCAGAAGGGCCCAGACAAUUUAUUUAAAAGAUCAGUGAAGUAAAAAUGUGAGUUUAAGUCCCACAGAGACCCAGGGUCAAAUCCCUGCUCUUCAGUUUCAUUUGUAUACCUUUGAAUAAGUUACUAAAAUUUUUGAACCUUUAAAAUAGGAAUUUAGUGGCACCUGGGUGGCUCAGUGGGUAGAGCAUGCAACUCUUGAUCUUGG
rnacentral:lncRNA from 1 species